UACGGGGGGGGCAAGCGUUGUUCGGAAUUACUGGGCGUAAAGGGCUCGUAGGCGGCCAACUAAGUCCGACGUGAAAUCCCCAGGCUUAACUUGGGAACUGCGUCGGAUACUGGUUGGCUUGAAUCCGGGAGAGGGAUGCGGAAUUCCAGGUGUAGCGGUGAAAUGCGUAGAUAUCGGGAGGAACACCAGUGGCGAAGGCGGCGACCUGGACGGAUAUUGACGCUGAGACGCGAAAGCGUGGGGAGCAAACAGG
rnacentral:rRNA from 1 species